UGGCAUUCUUAGAGUUCAGAAGCUAAGUC
rnacentral:piRNA from 1 species